AGGGAAAGCAACGGCCACUUUUUUUCUUUUUUUCAUUUUUUUUUUUUUUUCUCUCCCCCCGAGGAGAUGUCCUGAAAAAAGCCCCCGGUGCAGGGUUCAGGGCGGGGGGAGGCAGCAAGCAGCGCCCAGAGCUGGACGGGGCCCGGAGGACACACGGUCGGGGAGCUCUGCUGCCCUGCCAGCCAAACAUCCAUCCCCAGGCCCUUUGUCCAGCUUCGUUUUCUAGGGGAGCUUCAGAAAUUUGAGACGCUUCACUUCCGACAUGUGCCCCCUCUUGGGGUUUUGGAGAGCCCAACGGGUCAUUUGAAGGGGCUCAGCCCUGAGAAAAAGCACACAAGUGAUGCGAGGACCUCACCAACACCACGGGCAUGGCUUGUGCUUUGCUAGCUGAGUAUAUUGCAUACACACACACACACACACACAGCCCAUAGCCAUAGCUGAAAAACAAGGACAACGAAUAUGGAAUGGAUCAGAAAGAUAAAUAGCAUAAAAUCAGGAACAGUCCAGUCCCACACUUGCCAUUUGUUAUAGAGAGGAGAAGUAAAUGGGAUUCACAUGUCGAGCAUUAGCUGGUUGUUAGUCUGUAAGAUAAUAUUAACUUUAGUGCUUGCUGCUUUACUCCACUUUUCCAAAGGCAGUUCCAGGAGGCGCCCAGCCUGUAAUUUAGGAUGGCACAUACUGUGUGAAAGAGGCUUUGGCACCGGGGCCUACCAGCACAUCAAGGUGAUAUUAACAUAAUAAAACGUUUGGAGAGCGAGUAGGAGCUCAUAAAUUAAUGCAUUCUACUGUUUUAAUGCUGGGAGCUAACAAUGCGUUUCCUGUGCGGCUGAUCGUCCCCGCUGCAGCCUAACAGCUGUUUUAAAGCUUCCAGCUUGGAGGAUGGCCACCAUAGAGCUUCCCACCCAGAGAAGAUAUCCGAUGGAUGCAGAUGUGAACAACACAUGGGGGUUUUGCCCCAAAGACACCGAGGAGUGCAGAGCUGCUGGGGUUCAGGUAGAAAUGCCCAUCCACUGCCGGGCUCCUCAUCGCCAGGUGAUGCUCCUGCUGCCAACCAAAGAGGCACCAAACCACCUCCACCCCAACCCAAGCAGUUUCCAGAAGGAUGGUUUCCAAAGCCAAGCUCGUAUUCUGCAUGGUGGUGGCACAAACUGUUCCUGUACAAACAAAAGAACCCCGUGCAGUUGCUUAUUUUAAUCAUCCCAAACAUUCAUUAAUGUCUCUGUGUAUUCCCAAAUAUAGCAAAGAAAUCGCUCCCCAAGCUGACCCGCUCCCUCAUUCGCAGCCUUCCCUGUUAGUGCAGCCUUGGAAUAGUGUCUAGGAGGCCGCACAGCUUCUUUGGGAAAACUGGGAUGUUUGGAACAUGAGUGGAUUUGAGCAUUUCUAAACUUCCCAGAAGAGGCAAAUCGUAAAGGAAUAAACUUCUUUCUGUGCACGCACAUUUGCUUUGGAGCCAAAUGGAAAGGAGAGAUCAGAAAAAAAAAUGACAAAUUGUUUGGAAAAUGUUGUCCUUCCCAAGACAGACCUAACCAUAUGGGGGGAAGGGACUCAAUACGGAUUUUUUUCCCUUUAAAUUCCAGUCCAGCAGCCCUCCCAUUCACUCCGCUGGGAGGUUUGUGUGAGUCAGACCUGCAAGAUCAUCCAUUCAAGGCCGGUAAUAUUUCCAGCACUUCAGUCCACUCCUAUUCCCUGCUGAAGCAAAAUGGAAAGGGUUCUCCCCCAAAUUUGUGGUGGGAGCAGCGGGAGGGGGCUGAGUGCUCUCCUCGCUGCCUCCCAACUUCUCCCACAGCCCAGCAUCGCUGAGGAUGAGCUGCAGGGAAGGAAAGGGCAGCGCUGCUCCAGCGCUUAGAAAAUGUAUCUGUGACUGUGUAGAUGACUGCAAAAAGCAAAACGCCGCUGGAACAUGGAGAAUAAAGCAUGAGGAUGGGGAGAAGCCCUCUUUCCAUCUUUCCAGCCCUGCCCCAGCCUCCUGGUGUGAGCCCAGCGAGGUGCACGAGGUUUUUGUGCCUGCAGCCAACCACCCCCACCUACCCCGGGACGUGUGCAGGUUAAGGCAGGAAUGAGGCAAAUGGAAGAAGCUUUAAAGGAUCAAAAUGUACUGAUGUUUUCAUCGUGCUUGUGAAAGGCUGCUGCAGCGUGCUGGAUCACUGAGGACAUACCUUGGUUCUUCCUGGACCAAACGAAUGGUAUGUGGUUACCUUGGUGGUUAGCUGGAGCACAGAAAAUGCUUGUUGUGGCAAAGAAAUCCUUUUGCUUCUUUCAAAUCAUUGAAUUUAUCAUCGUUGUCAUCUUUAAGUAAUAAACCAGCUCUAUAUUUAUGCAUCCCCAA